GUUUUACUUCACUCCUCGCAUGUCAGCCAAUCGGUGAAGCUCUAGGCAGCUCUUGUCCCUCCUUAGUGCCAGCUCCCAAGUUUGCAGUCUCUUGCUUCUACAGCCGAACAGAGCAGGCGGACUAAAACUUUGCUAUCGGUAAGCUGGAGAAAUUAACAUCUAACGAGUUAAAAAAUACCAUCUAAACUGAUAUUUUUCACAAAAUAUGGUUUUGCACUUGUUGUCGUAGAGGGCAGAGCGAAACCGGAAGGUUUACUGAGCUGUGGCUUCACGUAAACGCUGAGCAUACACUCGACGGCGGUCAGGUUUUUUAUAUGGGACGAAUCCAAAGACCAGGUCAGCGAUUCCAGAACCCAGAGUGUUCCAGUGUUCACUGGAUGGCGAGCCAACCCAAGAUCCUAGGAGACGAUAUACAUACACACGCACACUCAUUUGCACAUUGAUUGACUACAAUCCUCUACUGUACAAGUAGUACGGUAGGAUAGACAAUCACACACACUCUUACCAUUGGACGGACUCUAUUGCAAUACACCCGUUUGUCAUGGGCCCCACCGGUACCAUUUGGACUUAAAAAAGACUAAUACUUUUACUUGUGCACAAUUUAAUUUUAUUCUAUUUUUUUGCUACUUUGGGGGAGAAUUUUAUACUUGAAGUUUUGUUAAACCUGUUGUAAUACUGUGUUGUUUACAAAAUCCUUUUAAAAGGCUUAAAAUCACUAAAGCACUUUUAAGCCACA